AGUGGGGAAAACAGCGUUCGGGGGGGCAGCUUUUUAUGCUGAUUUUCUGUAGGCAUGUGGGUCUUGGGUUCAGGAGUCACCUCUCUUUGCUUCCUCGGAGGUCUCCAGAGCAGUCUUUCUCCAGGGAUGUCCAAGGACCAUGCGAAAUGAUCCAUGAAGUACCGCCAGGCACACAAGUGAGGAAACAACCAAGCGAAGGUUACACCGGCUCAUGGGAAAUGGGAUCUAUUUAAGAAUGGAGCAGGAUAUGUUGGAUGGAAGUGUGUGCAAUCAUCUUUAAGAAGGCAGGACAACCUGUAGUACACCAGAGCUCACAAGCACGUACAAAACAGCAAAAUGGAAAUGCUACAAUCGACAAUUUUGACUGCAAAAAUCAAUUUGUAAACAUGGUUUGCAUACAGUCUUUGAAAAACUGUAGAAAAAAUUAGAAAAGAAUGAUACAAAAAUCCCUGCAAACUAUUCUAUUUAUGUACAAAGCAAUAUACAGACACCAGACAAUCCAGGUUGCGUGAUGCUGCCUACGACAGUUUCCCUUUGCGCCGUGGCGCUUGCCACAGAGCAGCAUUAAAAACACUUGCGAAAUUCUUGAAUUUUGGAAAUCAGACUAGAAGGACUGGAUAGUCCAGCAUCGAUCAGUAAUGGGUCUGCAGCAGAACGUAGUUAUAAAUGAAAGGGGAAGUACAUCAAAAAGUUGGGUGAUGUGAGGAAUCUCACAAGUCUUCCUGCCUCCCCAAGUCCUUCCUUAGCAUGUGGGUUAGUUCCCUCUCAGACUAUAGAGACCUACUUGGUGGCUCAGCAAAAUGCUCUAGGUAUUUUUUUAAAUGUUUAGAUCCUGGGUUUUCCAUACAACUCAUAGAUUCAAAUGCACAACCACCGUAUCUGCUCGGAUUUGUAUGAUCUGGUAGCAGGAAGUCACCACUGAGGGGGAAGGUGUCCCUGGGACAGUGGGAAAACCUGAGGGAUGGGUCUCUAGCACCUCUUGCCGGUGAACCCRUUUGCACAAGAAGUAAAGGAAUUCACAGCACCUGGCCUUUAGCAGCGAUUUGGCUCAUUCAUAGCAGCAGAUUUCAAUUUAAUAUCCAACACAAUCAGGAGGAAAAAAAUGAGGGAGGGACCCACUGCGCAGUCCUGCCCAGGCCCACUUGCUAGGGAUGCUCACGAAGUCUUGCCUUAGGUGGGCAGAACCGCAGUGUCUGCUUGUGCUUUGAGGAUUAUGGAUAGACACAGUCUAGUGCCCGUGGGGAAAGAAAGAUCCAUGACUUUGAAAGGAAUAUAUAUUUAACACAUUGUUCCAGGUAAUUUGUGAGCACGGAUAUAUAACACUUAAAAAAUAACAUGGUGUAGAUGAUCAAUUUGUUUACAACUGUAUUGUCUUCUCUGACACUUCAGUAUUGCAAUUGCUUUUUUUCCCCCCAAUACUUGAAGUUAUCCUCUCUAUAUAGUUAUUCAGGCAAUAGAAAUCGGGUAAAUAUUUUUGGCUUGAAGUCAUCAAUGUGACUGGAGAAAACAAAAUCACUCUUCUUCCGCAGCAGGAGUUUCCACAUGACCUUAUGUGUUGAAACAAAUACAGUUUUACCAGAGGCAAACGACCCCAGGGACUAUAUGCCUAUUAUAAUAGCUAACAUGAAAAAUAUCCUAAUCAUGGCCUUAGAAGUCACAGUAAUAAAAUCAAGGAUAGUCUUCUGGCUCA
ensembl:lncRNA